UGGAGAGUUUGAUCCUGGCUCAGGACGAACGCUGGCGGCGUGCUUAACACAUGCAAGUCGAACGGAAAGGUCUCUUCGGAGAUACUCGAGUGGCGAACGGGUGAGUAACACGUGGGUGAUCUGCCCUGCACUUCGGGAUAAGCCUGGGAAACUGGGUCUAAUACCGGAUAGGACCAUGAGAUUCAUGUCUUGUGGUGGAAAGCUUUUGCGGUGUGGGAUGAGCCCGCGGCCUAUCAGCUUGUUGGUGGGGUGACGGCCUACCAAGGCGACGACGGGUAGCCGGCCUGAGAGGGUGUCCGGCCACACUGGGACUGAGAUACGGCCCAGACUCCUACGGGAGGCAGCAGUGGGGAAUAUUGCACAAUGGGCGCAAGCCUGAUGCAGCGACGCCCGCGUGGGGGAUGACGGCCUUCGGGUUGUAAACCUCUUUCACCAUCGACGAAGGUCCGGGUUUUCUCGGAUUGACGGUAGGUGGAGAAGAAGCACCGGCCAACUACGUGCCAGCAGCCGCGGUA
rnacentral:rRNA from 1 species